UAAGGCGGCAGAGCGGCAGGGCCCCACCUCUUCCCAUACCGAACAGAGAAGUUAAGCCUGCCAGCGCCGAUGGUACUGGUUCAUUCCGGGAGAGUAGGCCGCCGCCACCC
rnacentral:rRNA from 1 species